rnacentral:lncRNA from 1 species
UGUAAAAAUGAAGGAAACUCUGUCAUCUGCAACAACAUAGAUAGACCUUGAAGUCUUAUUUUACCUAAGUAAAAUAAGUCAGACAGAGAAAGACAAAUACCAUAAGAUCUCAUUUAUGUAUGGAAUCUAAAAAAAUUAAAAGACCAAACUCAUAGAGAACAGAGUGAUGGUUGCCGGGGGGGUGGGCAUGUGGGGUGGGGUACAAAACGAGUGAAGGUAGUCAAAAGGUACAAACUUCCAGUUAUAAAAUAAAUAGGUCCUGGAAAUAUAAUAUACAGCAUGGUGACUAUAGUUAAUGAUAAUGUAUCAUAUAUUUGAAAGUUGCUAAGAAAGUAGAUCUUAAAAGUUCUCAUCACAAGAAAAAAAAAUUUUGUAACUAUGUGUGGUGAUGGCUGUUAACUAGAUAUUGUGUUGAUCAUUUCACAAAAUAUGCAUAUGAAGAGUCACCAUGUUGUACAUCUGAAAGUAAUUUAAUGUUAUGCAUUAUGUCACAAUAAUAUAUAUGUAUAUAUGUGUAUGCAUAUAUAUAUAUAUAUAUAUAUAUUUAAAUGAAAAAAAGACAUAAGAAACAGUUUGCUUGAGGGUUUGAGGAAGGUCCUUCCUCUCUCCUAACAUUCUUUCUUCCCCCAGACAUGAAUGAGAAAGCCUGAUACUCUCUUUCCACUGGCUGUCAUCCCACAGUCAUCACGAAAACCAGUCUCAGGAUGAGGUUGACACUACGAACCGCAUAGGAGAAAGACGGGAAGAACUUGGGUUUUUAAUGACAGUGUACUAUACUGGGGAUCAAUCCACUCCAAACUCACUCUACCAACGAUCUUCCUCUUUGAACUCAUCGAUUUUCUUCCUGUUUGACAUUUAUAAUGAGGAGGAAGAAGAUCAUAAUCAUGAAAUACGUAAAGUGUUUGCAGAAGACUCUGUGUCCUGCUGCACACAAAUGUUCAGGUUCCAAAUCUCAGUGCUGCCUUUUAUGGAGGAUGAUGCUGUCUCCUGUGUUGGUUCAACUGCAGAAAAUCUUCAAAGACAAGAUUAUGUGACUGCCAUACUACUAGGGACUUCAGUGAAUUGAGAUGCUCAUCUUAGCCUGAAACCACUCAUGAACUGGCUCCACCUUUGAAUAAUCUUCUCCCACUGUCCAGAAAUUCAAAUUGUCAGUGUUACCGGUAGGUAAGUGCUUUUUUCUUUAAUUAGCACUUUUCUAACAGCAAAGAUAGACUUUCCUUUCCCCUAAACUCCAUCCCAAUGCUCAUCUAGAAAAGGCACUGCACUUGCUCACAAUGGAAACCAAUGCCGUUACUCAAAUUGCUUUAUAGGACACAACUUCCUGUUUUUAUCAAUCCCCAGUUACAGUUAGUAUGAAUUAAACUCAACUCCUUGACAGAAUGUUUUUCUCAGUAAAUUCAUUUUUAGUCUUAUCCAAAUAUAAAAAUAUCCAAAAUAUGGCCUGCAUAUCCCAAGAGAGACAAACGGUUCCAGAAAGAAUCCCUGG